rnacentral:rRNA from 1 species
CUGCGCGUGGGGCUGGUAAUUGAAGACGACGUCUUCCCGCGCGCCGUGUGCGAUGACGCGACU